UAAAUGUACAACUGUUUGUUUUCUUUUUCUCACAAUCUUAUAAAAUGAUAGCUUGAAUAAAUGAAGGUUUCCCCUCAAGUCCUAUCAACCUUGCGUAUUUUAGUAAAAUUUAAUAUUGUCUAGAAAACACUGAGCCCUCUAGUUAUUCUCUCUAACCCACAAAGGAAGCUGAACACUUGAUGUUAAACUUCAUCAGAGUAAAUAAGAAUCCCCUCUAUUACAUACAAAAGAAAAAAAUAACUGGAGAGACAGUCUCUGCUCUGAGGUUAUUAUUUUGGGGUCUUUGGUUUUGGCACAUUCUCCCCACCCCAUGCCUUCUCCCUCAUCUUUAUUGAGUAUCUGCAUCUGUGGCAGAACAGCAUCUGUUUUUAAGUCUGCAGUCUUGGACCAAGCUCAUUCUAUUCCCCACUCUUCGAGAAUCUCAAGAGCACCAGGAUUGUUUGGGGUUGCCAUGGAUGGACACAGAGUUCUUAUCCCAGUACUCACUUGUUCUCAAUAUGAGGUAAGGUAAAGAACUAGAGGUGAGGGUCUCUGAGCAAGGGAGUUCCAUCCCAUCCUCUGCCCUCUCUGUUGGCUAAUGUUGUCCUCUCAUCCUCAUCAGGAGGAUUAAAAUCAUGUAAAGUUUUUGUGGGGGAACUAGAUGGAGGUCUCUUGGGCCCACAGACAGGAAAGUUUGCUUAUACCAGAGCUGUGGAGAUCACUAACAUUCCUUUCCCCUCCCAGGGACCUUACAGAGUCUCCUUAUCCUCAUGGUGCAGGAGGACCACGGGUGUAGGGCCAAAUAGCAGUAACCUUGUUACUUGCCAGGAAUGGGGUAAAGAUUUGAUUUAACAAGCUUAGUUUUGGGAAAUUAAAAAUAAAAAAAGGAAAAGCCAUAAUACUGAAAGGCAGCAGGAGAUGAAACUGCUAACAGGAUCUUGAAUAAAUUUCUCCCACUUAGAGAAAACUGUAUGGAAGACACGAAACCUGAGACGUGUCAUUUUUGUGGCUGAAUUGACCCCAGGCUCUUCUGAACGGCAGUGGCCCUGAAGCAGUCUGGCCUACAGAAUUAUGGAUUCAUUAACAGCUUCUACUGUACGCUCUGACAACUAUGACCACAAUGGGCUACACGCAGAUGACUUGGCAGGAGCAAACAGGCAAACAUCAGUGAAAGUCUCAAUUCGAAUGACCUGCUGGAAGUCAACACUGAUGAAAUCACUGAUGAUAUUCCACACACAAAUGAACUGACAGAAGAAACCCAGGAGACCUUUAUCUAUGAAAGGUGAGUUAUAAAUAGAUAAAGACACAUGUAUGCAUAAGGGGGCACAGAAGUAUACACACACACAGGCACAUCA